AAACAUACUGUAACGGACCGUUUUGCACACAAGAGGUUAAAAACUGUUUAGGCGAUAUUCCCCUUUCAGAUGCACAGAAGCUACUACAAGCACCAAUCUCCUGAACUGGAACCACACGAAUCCUCCAACUCCCAAACAGGAAACACACGAACACUGGAAACAGCCGAACAGGAAAAGCAUACAAUUAGCUUACACUCCUGGCAAUGAGCAUACAAUCCAAUUCCCCCAAUAAAGAGAUGACACUUCGUUUUGAGAGUCAAGCAGAAUCUGGUUUACUGGGGCUACCUGCCCGGCUUUUAUGCAGGUCUCCCACCUGGUGGACACUCCCCUAGGGGACCAGAUAGAAGACUGGUAUACACAUUGGAGAUUGACCAAUCACAAGCUUACAAUCCCAC